UUAAAAGCAAGUAAGUGGAGAAGUAAUUGAGCUGUACGAAUCACAGGAAGCCAUGUUAAUUGAGAAAUGGUAUUUGUCGUUUGAUGAAAGUAGCCACGGAGCUUACAAUGCGAGCGAAAGCAAGUGUUGCAUGGGUGCACCCAUUAUUGUGCUAGCGUAUUAUUUGUACGUGAAAAGAUGUUGUCUGUGAGGGCAUCAUAAAGCAAGGGUGGUACCGCGCAUAAGCGUCCUUUGA
rnacentral:ncRNA from 1 species